UUAAAAUAGGUGGUGAGGUGGAAGAAAUUCACCUUUUGUGAUUACUGCAAGUACAUUUGGCUUGUCCUGAUAAUGUUCCUGACAGAGUGUCCAGGGGAGGGAGAACUCACUAGAGACAUCUGUGAAGAAAAGACUGAAGUGUGGGUCUGUUCCUGGGACAUCUCUUUGAGUUGUAAACAAAUCCCGAGAGAGGCUCAGCCAGUCCCAGCACCCGGGAGGAAGCUCCCCACCUCCAUCCCAGGCUCCUAGGGCAGAGAAGCUCAGCCGGUUCCAGCACCCAGAAGGAAGCUCCCCACCUCCAUCCCAGGCUCUUAGGGCAGAGAAGCUCAGCCGGUCCCAGCACCCAGAAGGAAGCUCCCCACCUCCAUCCCAGGCUCCUAGGGCAGAGAAGCUCAGCCGGUCCCAGCACCCAGAAGGAAGCUCCCCACCUCCAUCCCAGGCUCCUAGGGCAGAGAAGCUCAGCCGGUCCCAGCACCCAGAAGGAAGCUCCCCACCUCCAUCCCAGGCUCCUAGGGCAGAGAAGCUCAGCCGGUCCCAGCACCCAGAAGGAAGCUCCCCACCUCCAUCCCAGGCUCCUAGGGCAGAGAAGCUCAGCCGGUCCCAGCACCCAGAAGGAAGCUCCCCACCUCCAUCCCAGGCUCCUAGGGCAGAGAAGCUCAGCCGGUCCCAGCACCCAGAAGGAAGCUCCCCACCUCCAUCCCAGGCUCCUAGGGCAGAGAAGCUCAGCCGGUCCCAGCACC
rnacentral:lncRNA from 1 species